AUUGAACGCUGGCGGCAGGCCUAACACAUGCAAGUCGAACGAGUGGCGGACGGGUGAGUAAUGUCUGGGCAACUGCCUGAUGGAGGGGGAUAACUACUGGAAACGGUCGCUAAUACCGCAUACCAUCGGAUGUGCCCAGAUGGGAUUAGCUAGUAGGUGGGGUAAAGGCUCACCUAGGCGACGAUCCCUCGCUGGUCUGAGAGGAGGACCAGCCAGUCUGGAACUGAGUCACGGUCCAGACACCGACGGGAGGCAGCGGUGGGGAAGAUUGCACAAUGGUAGCAGGCCUGAGACAGCCAUGCCGCGUGUAUGAAGAAGGCCUUCGGGUUGUAAAGUACUUUCAGCGGGGAGGCGUUACCCGCAGAAGAAGCACCGGCUAACUCCGUGCCAGCAGCCGCGGUAAUUC
rnacentral:rRNA from 1 species